GAUGAACGCUGACAGAAUGCUUAACACAUGCAAGUCCACUUGAACUUCGGUUUGGGUGGCGGACGGGUGAGUAACGCGUAAAGAACUUGCCUCACAGCUAGGGACAACAUUUGGAAACGAAUGCUAAUACCUGAUAUUAUGAUUAUAUGGCAUCGUAUAAUUAUGAAAGCCAUAUGCGCUGUGAGAGAGCUUUGCGUCCCAUUAGCUAGUUGGAGAGGUAACAGCUCACCAAGGCGAUGAUGGGUAGCCGGCCUGAGAGGGUGAUCGGCCACAAGGGGACUGAGACACGGCCCUUACUCCUACGGGAGGCAGGAGUGGGGAAUAUUGGACAAUGGACCGAGAGUCUGAUCCAGCAAUUCUGUGUGCACGAUGAAGUUUUUCGGAAUGUAAAGUGCUUUCAGUUGGGAAGAAAAAAAUGACGGUACCAACAGAAGAAGUGACGGCUAAAUACGUG
rnacentral:rRNA from 1 species